rnacentral:rRNA from 1 species
UACGUAGGGCGCAAGCGUUGUCCGGAAUUAUUGGGCGUAAAGAGCUCGUAGGCGGCUUGUCACGUCGGUUGUGAAAGCCCGGGGCUUAACUCCGGGCCUGCAGUGGGUACGGGCAGACUAGAGUGCGGUAGGGGAGACUGGAAUUCCUGGUGUAGCGGUGAAAUGCGCAGAUAUCAGGAGGAACACCGGUGGCGAAGGCGGGUCUCUGGGCCGUAACUGACGCUGAGGAGCGAAAGCGUGGGGAGCGAACAGG